GUUUCAAUUCCUCAUAGGCAGGCUAUCGGCGGCGUUACACUCGCUGAUACGGCCUGUUGACUCUCUGAG
rnacentral:sRNA from 1 species